rnacentral:rRNA from 1 species
CCUACGGGAGGCAGCAGUAGGGAAUCUUCCACAAUGGGCGAAAGCCUGAUGGAGCAACGCCGCGUGGGUGAAGAAGGUCUUCGGAUCGUAAAACCCUGUUGUUAGAGAAGAAAGUGCGUGAGAGUAACUGUUCACGUUUCGACGGUAUCUAACCAGAAAGCCACGGCUAACUACGUGCCAGCAGCCGCGGUAAUACGUAGGUGGCAAGCGUUAUCCGGAUUUAUUGGGCGUAAAGGGAACGCAGGCGGUCUUUUAAGUCUGAUGGGAAAGCCUUCGGCUUAACCGGAGUAGUGCAUUGGAAUCGGGGAGACGGGAGAGCAGAAGAGGAGAGUGGAACUCAAUGUGAAGCGGUGAAAGGAGGAGAUAUAUGGAAGAACACCAGGGGCGAAAGCGGCUCUCUGGUCUGUAACUGACGCUGAGGUUCGAAAGCGUGGGUAGCAAACAGGAUUAGAUACCCUAGUAGUG